CGCCAGACUCCUACGGGAGGCAGCAGUCGGGAAUAUUGCGCAAUGGAGGAAACUCUGACGCAGUGACGCCGCGUGCAGGAAGAAGGUUUUCGGAUUGUAAACUGCUUUAGACAGGGAAGAAAAAAGACAGUACCUGUAGAAUAAGCUCCGGCUAACUACGUGCCAGCAGCCGCGGUAAUACGUAGGGGGCAAGCGUUAUCCGGAUUCACUGGGCGUAAAGGGAGCGCAGGCGGCACGGCAAGUCUGGUGUGAAAGCCCGGGGCCCAACCCCGGGACUGCAUUGGAAACUGCCGGGCUGGAGUGCCGGAGGGGCAAGCGGAAUUCCUGGUGUAGCGGUGAAAUGCGCAGAUAUCAGGAAGAACACCGGUGGCGCAGGCGGCUUGCUGGACGGCAACUGACGCUGAGGCUCGAAAGCGUGGGGAGCAAACAGGAUUAGAUACCCCAGUAG
rnacentral:rRNA from 1 species